rnacentral:rRNA from 1 species
UUGAUACUUUCAACCUCAAAUCAAGAUAAGACUUCCCCAGAA